UACGAAGGGGGCUAGCGUUGCUCGGAAUUACUGGGCGUAAAGCGCACGUAGGCGGAUUGUUAAGUCGGGGGUGAAAUCCUGGAGCUCAACUCCAGAACUGCCUUCGAUACUGGCGAUCUCGAGUUCGGGAGAGGUGAGUGGAACUGCGAGUGUAGAGGUGAAAUUCGUAGAUAUUCGCAAGAACACCAGUGGCGAAGGCGGCUCACUGGCCCGAUACUGACGCUGAGGUGCGAAAGCGUGGGGAGAGAACAGG
rnacentral:rRNA from 1 species